UGUGGGACACAUAUUUUGCCUUAGAGUAAAUUCCCCUUUGCCUUGAGCUGUCUCUAAUUAGUUUCUGUUAUUUUCUCCAAACCUCAUGCCACCUGCUUCCUGAGCUGGGCCUGGGGUGGGUUUGUGCACGGAGAUCAGCGAAUAUUUCACAGUGUGGAUUCACUGCUGGCACACAGAUGCCUUGGAGUCUGAGUCACUUCUUGACCAAGAGAGCCUGUAGAGAAAGCAGACAGGAGUUGGAGGCUGAGGCCAGCAUGGAGUCUGACAACACGGAGGAAAGGCUGAGAGCAGGGACCAGGGUUUCCCAAGGGAACUUGCCUGCAGACAGGAGACAAAGGACCACGAAGCAGAAAACCUCAUCACUGUCUAUUUCCUGCUUUUCUUUGGAACACCUUCUUACUGAGGGAUACCGUUGUACGGCAAUAUUACAUCCAACACCAGACAAUUUGGCGAUUUCUGAGUUGGUGCACUUCCUGAACCUAGGAAAAUGACUUCAUACAACUUGGAGUACAGAGACAUAUCUGCUGAUUCUAGGUCUCUGGGAGUGCUCUAAGCCUGGGAGCAAGCAAGAUUAACAGCAAUGUCACAAGCUGGCUUGGUACAGACUCAGUGACCCCAAAGCUGAAGAACUUCCAUCUCAUGAGUUGUAAAGGUAGCACAUAGUCCUCUCUCUACCUUUUGCUGGACAUCCCCCAAUGUUAACAUCAUACAUAAUCAUGAUAAGAGUUAUCAAAUCUACGACUCUAACAUUGGUACAACUAAACUGCAGACUAGAUGCAGAUUUUCCAACAAUUUCCUUUUUCUGCCCUAUUAUCUAACCCAGGAUCCCACAUAGCAUUAGGAGUGAUGUCUCCUUAGUCGUCUGCAAUCUGUAACAACUUCUCAGUCUUUCCUUGUGAUCCAGGAAAUUAUUAUCAAACAAUGGGUGGACAUAUAUUAAAACCAGCACAUGAAUGAAUAUUUGGAGGAGAACACUUUGCAACAGAGCAAAUAUUCUGUUUCUUCUAAAAGCCUCACCCACUAAUUUCUGCCAUUCAUCAUUGGAUCUUACAUGUGGCAAGUAUUACAGUGGUGUGUCUAAUGGUGAUAUUUUAUUUCCCUCCAUUUAUUUUUUAUUUUUUAAUAUUUAUUUUUUAGUUGUAGUUGGACACAAUACCUUUAUUUUAUUUUUAUGUGGUGCUGAGAAGUGAACCCAGGGCCUCACACAUGCUAGCUGAGCGCUCUACUCCUGAGCACAACCCCAGCCCCUCCCUCCAUUUCUUCUACAUAAUUAAUUUGAAAUUCUUCACUGAAAGAUUUGCCUUGUCUCCUUGUUUACUUAAUCAUUUAAUUAUUAAUAUGAAUUUGUGGAUUUUCUUAAAUUCUUUGCAUUAUAAACCAGUGCUACCUUUAUUUAUUUUGAUGCUGAAAUUUGUUCCAGCCUUGGUUGCUGGGAAAUCUUUCACAAUGAUCCCUCUGUCCUUUGAGAUGCCUCAUUCUUUCUUUCUUCUUCUUCUUUCUUUUCUCUUUUUAACAACUUCUUGAAACAUGGCUUAUCUUGUGUUUUUCUCUUCCAGAGUCCUAGAAUCACAUCUAUUUACUUUACCUAGAGAAUAGUAUUUGAAAAUUUUGGGGCACUAAUGAGCUGUUGCUAGUGGUAUUCUCAGUGGACAGAACUAUGAAAUCUAUGUAUGUACACAAUACAAAAGCAUAUGCAUUUAUUCCUAUAUCUCUAUAUUAAAAAGCAACUUCAUAUUGAUAUCUCUAAGUAGAUACUAUUGGAUCCUGUAAAUACUCAUGACAUUUGUUCUUGGGUUUGAUUAAGCUACUUGGAAAUAGUGAUCUUUUGAGGGUCUUGCAUUUAUCUGUCUUCUAUCUAUCUAUCUAUCUAUCUAUCUAUCUAUCUAUCUAUCUAUCUAUCUAUUUUUGUACUGUGAAUUGAGCCUAGGGCAGUUAACUACUGAGUCACAUCACCACUCCUUUUUUUAAUAUUUUUUUUUUUAAAUUUCAAGACAGGAUCUCAGUAAGUUGCUGAAAGUCUUAGUUACUGAGAUUGACCUUGGACUUGUGAUACUCCUGCAUCAAUCUCCUCAAUUGCUGGGAUUAUAGGCAUGGGCCACCAUCCCCAGCUGUGGGAUUUCUUUUAAAUUGGGCCAGAUGGGCCCAGAAAAAUGUUUAGUGAAGAAAUUAUUUUGUUUUAAUACAAAGGCAAAAACGGUCAGAGAACUCUACUGAUUGCCCCAUGAACUCCUGAGUUUCCCUUCCUGGCUGGGAGGAAUUAUUACGCCCAGGCCUUCUUGAGCUCUGGACAUUGUUUCCUCUUUCGUGGUGAAUGUUUUUUUCUUCAUCCUCUAAGAGUUUGACCAUAUGUGUGUUGGUGAAGACACAGCUGAAGAGUCAAGGGACACCCUCUGAUAGUGUCCAGAAUUCUCUUUUCAGAGCAAUCAUCUUUCCAGUUCUCUGCCUGGGAAAUUUGGCUGCUUUGACCUCCUUGUAUUUCCAACUCUUAACUCAGUGAGAUCUUCAAGGUCUGCCUAGUUUCUCCCUCCGAAGCCCACAGCCUGGAAUCUCCCUCCGGGUAUCGGGAUGUGAUGGUCCUAGUGCUUAGUUUGGUUGUUGUCCAUCUCUCAGGACCACUGUCUUUUGUUGACUGAUUUCCAGUGUCUUAGAAACUGUCAUAUCAUAUUUUUUAAAGCAAUUUCAACAAGAAGGUUAAAUCUAAUUCCUGUUAAUUCAUCUUGGUUAGAAGUCGAAAUUCACUACAAAUAUCAUAUUGAAUUUCUUAUUAUUGGGCUCUCCAGGGAUUUCAAUGGUUUUUGGAUCUUUGGGUCAGUUUUUGACAUAUGGAUUCCAUUGCACACAAGCAGUAGGAAACGUCAUUUCAUACACAUGUGAGGCACAGCUUGAAGUUCCAGUUUCUCUCUGCCAAUUUAUCUUUUUGGUUUGUCACCCAAAGGCCUGAUCAAACAUUCAAUUUCUUACAUGCAUUUCUGGGUCUUUGGUUGUAAUACUUUUAGUCUAUGAAGAGUGGAAAUUUUGAGGCUCUGGGAUUAAUGUGAGAGAUAUAAUUCUAACUCCUUUAUGUCAUCUCUUUCUUAGGGUCUUAAACCCCCAGUUCCAAUUGUGAGGCCUGUACCUGGUAUAAAAGAGAGCAAUAGAUCAUUAUGACUUUACCUUUCCCUAGAACUGCUGAUGAGCUAUCUCUUUUUUCUUCUAUAUAGUGAAUUUUAAUUUCUUUAAUUUCUUUUUCUUUUUGGAUUACCUGUAUAUUGUUUCUUUACUUUUAAAUUUUGGUGGUGAGGAGUGAUUCCAUUUUUG